rnacentral:rRNA from 1 species
UACGGAGGGUGCAAGCGUUAAUCGGAAUUACUGGGCGUAAGCGCACGCAGGUGGCUGAGAAGUCGAUUGUGAAAGCCCUGGGCUUAACCUGGGAAUUGCAGUUGAAACUACUCGGCUAGAGUAUGGGAGAGGACAGUGGAAUUCCGGUGAUAGCGGUGGAAAUACGGUAGAUAUCGGGAGGAACACCAGUGGCGAAGGCGGCCUUCUGGACCAAUACUGACGCUCAUGCACGAAG